rnacentral:lncRNA from 1 species
AUAAUAUUCAAAAAGUUGGGGUCUUACAACCUCCCCUUCUUAUGAAAUUUUGCCCUCGAAAUUAGGGUACAUACCUGGUAUGUCGAAGAGGUAAGGAUACCUUGACUUCAUUUCAGAAUCUAACUCCUAGGUCAUUUCCUCAACAUCGUGGUUUCUCCACAAAACUUUGGCUUGAGGUAUAACCUUGGAGCGUAAAAUAUGCUCCUUUUUAUCCAAGAUUUUAACAGGAACCUCUUCACACGUUAAAUCUUCCACUAUUUCGUCCGGUUCUAACUCAAUAAUGUGGUUCGAGUCUUU